rnacentral:misc_RNA from 1 species
UUAAAUGUUUUAUUGCCGGCUCUCUCAAGGUUAACGCUGAGAGAUUGAGCUAGCAAUAUACCAACCCCUUGUGAACUGUAAUUGUAUUUGGGCGUUUAGUUUUAUACUAAAUGCCCGCCUAUGUAUAAACACCCUUUUUAAUUUGACUGAUUAUAGAGAUAUAAAAGAGAAA